UAGUGUUUUUGGUAAUAGUUUACCCAAGAAGCCAAAAACAUGUAUGUAAUUAAACUUGAUAUUUUACGUUUAGCCUUCCAAAUACAAAGUCCUGACUCUGCCCCCCGAUCACCAACCAUUUGUGGUACCAUUUUGGACCAAAUUUCGGAGAAACAAACUUAUGUGGGUUCCCCUGCCUCUCACAAUAAUGAGAGGAUGAUAGCUACUACUACUGUGAGUGGGCCUCACACAAAUUUUGUGAGGACAAAUACACAAUCUUUUGUCCAAAUUUCGGUAUAGGUUGAUGACCCCACAUAGCCUUUAAUAAUCCCUUGUGGGAAAGGACACACGAGGGUUCUGACUUUAAAUCUCAAUAUUCAUGUAGCGUGUGAGUUAUUAUCUCUCAAAAAAUAAUCUCCGUAGUUAAUUCUAAAUUUCAUUUAAUGAAAUCAUGCAAUGAGUAAAUUUGAUACAUAUUAUAUAAUGAUAUAUAGCAUAUGUUGUGAUAAAAAUUAAUCCAAUCCCAAGUUCCCAACUACCCUAAACACCGUAGUGAUAAGUUAACCAUAGUCAAAAUGGUGUAAAGUUUGCAACUUACAUAUACAAAAUUGCAGGGUCAGCCAGGCGUAAUGUCCUGUAUAUACAAAAUAUCUAGUUAGCAGACAAGGAAAGGACCGUGUGCCUUCAACUUGCCACCCCUAGUCGUGCGUCGUGAUCUUUCCACGAGAAACAAGCAUCAAGUUUCACGAGGCCGGCUGAUUAAGCAGUUUUUGGCAUCCAGCAGCUGAUACAAGUUUGAAGCUUGCAACAAAUUUACCGGCGCCUUCUAUCUGCAAAUUAUGUGAGACAUUAGAUGAAAUAGUCUGGUCGAAAAUAUGUGUGUGUGGAUAAAGAAAGAAAUAAGCCAGAAAUAAGCCUUUAAUUUUGGGCUCAUCACGACCACUUCUCUAUUGCAAUUUGCAUGGCUGCAACCAUCAUCAUAAAUCUAGCAUGAGAAAAGGAGGCAAUAAUGUAGCCAGAGACGACUUGCCGAUCAGCUCAUUCUCACAACAACAUGCAUGCAUUGGAGAAUGACAAGCUAAGUAUUGCCGGCAAGUCAUCCUUGGCUGCACCACACGCCUCAUUUCCACAUGCAAGACUUUAGAUGAAAAAACCAUAACAUAAUUUAAAAAUAAAGUCGCACAAUAAUAUGACCAACCAAUCAAAUAGAUCCAAAUGUGUAAGAAACCAAGAAGAAAAAAAGAUAGAAAAAGAAAAGUGGAGGCAGGGUAGGAAUUUCCCAAAGAAGCAAGACAACAUUCCCUUGUAGAAAAAUGGAAACUCAACCCUCUACUUAUUUCAACAAGAAAACAAGGCGUUGUCCCAAAGAGGGAAGGAAAGCUUUGGAAACAGACAGAGAAGAAGAAGCCGAUUGGACUGCAAAGCCUCUUGGCAGUGUUUGGACGAAUGAACAUAGAUAUAUAGCCAUAGAGAGAGAGAGAGAGCCUAGCUUGCUCAUAAAUAAAUAAAGAAUUUGGCAAAAGCUGUUUUCUCUUGUUUCCAUAACACUCUAAGUAAGUAUUAAUGAUCUCAGCUUUUGUACAAAGCAGAAGCAGAUCCAGAACUGUCCGAUCAAAGUCCCUUAUCCAAUGGACAGGAAUCUGUGAGGAAAAUGAGUAAUUUAGAUGGAGUUUUUCGUGGGUGCAUAAACCGAAGAGUUUGGAUGUGACUUUGCAUGGGUGCAUAAACCAAAGAGAUAUUAAGCCGAAAGAUACAUCUCCAUCACCUAAUGUUCACUUUCUUCCUGCUUUUCUGAGAAGCCAUUCAAGUCAUGGCGUAGCUUUUGAUUUGAUUUGAUUGCUUAAAUUGAAUGAAUGGUAUGGCAUGGCUCUCUUCAGAUUCAGAAGGUGUCCCUCGUCGGGUAGGAAUGAGUUAGGUGAAGUGAGUCAAUUUACUACAUUUGGCCGCAUCCCAACCAAUUUGAGUUUCAGAUUGUGUGGUCCCUAAACUUAGAUUGUCUUUACCCCAAAAUGCUUGCUAUUAUCUGAUCUUAUGCUACAUGACUAGGUCCU
rnacentral:lncRNA from 1 species